AACGUAGGAGACAAACGUUAUCCGGAGUUACUGGGCGUAAAGGGCGUGUAGGUGGUUUCGUAAGUCUGGCGUGAAAUAUCUCGGCUUAACCGAGGCAGGUCGUCGGAUACUGCGGAACUAGAGGACGGUAGAGGCGUGUGGAAUUCCGGGUGUAGUGGUGAAAUGCGUAGAGAUCCGGAGGAACACCAGUGGCGAAGGCAGUGCCCUGGCCGACGGCUGACGCUCAGGCGCGAAAGCGUGGGGAGCAAACAGG
rnacentral:rRNA from 1 species